CCGUAACUAUAACGGUCCUAAGGUAGCGAAAUUCCUUGUCGGGUAAGUUCCGACCCGCACGAAAGGCGUAACGAUUUGGGCACUGUCUCAACGAUGGACUCGGUGAAAUCAUAGUACCUGUGAAGAUGCAGGUUACCCGCGACAGGACGGAAAGACCCCAUGGAGCUUUACUGUAGCUUGAUAUUGAAUUUUGAUGCAGUAUGUACAGGAUAGGUAGGAGCCUAAGAAUCAUGCACGCCAGUGUAUGAGGAGGCGUUGUUGGGAUACUACCCUUGCUGUAUUGAAAUUCUAACCCUCGGCAUAGAAAACCGGGAGACAGUGUCAGGUGGGCAGUUUGACUGGGGCGGUCGCCUCCCAAAGAGUAACGGAGGCGUUCAAAGGUUCCCUCAGAAUGGUUGGAAAUCAUUUGCAGAGUGUAAAGGCACAAGGGAGCUUGACUGUGAGACUUACAAGUCGAGCAGGUGCGAAAGCAGGACUUAGUGAUCCGGUGGUUCCGCAUGGAAGGGCCAUCGCUCAACGGAUAAAAGCUACCCUGGGGAUAACAGGCUUAUCUCCCCCAAGAGUUCACAUCGACGGGGAGGUUUGGCACCUCGAUGUCGGCUCAUCGCAUCCUGGGGCUGUAGUCGGUCCCAAGGGUUGGGCUGUUCGCCCAUUAAAGCGGUACGCGAGCUGGGUUCAGAACGUCGUGAGACAGUUCGGUCCCUAUCCGUCGUGGGCGUAGGAAAUUUGAGAGGAGCUGUCCUUAGUACGAGAGGACCGGGAUGGACGUAUCAAUGGUGUACCAGUUGUCACGCCAGUGGCAUAGCUGGGUAGCUAAAUACGGAAGGGAUAAGAGCUGAAAGCAUCUAAGCAUGAAGCCCCCCUCGAGAUGAGAUUUCCCACGGAUAUUAAGACCCCUUGAAGACGACAAGGAGAAUAGGUUAGGAGUGUAAGCACGGUAACGUGUUCAGCUGACUAAUACUAAUAGGUCGAGGACUUAAUCAA
rnacentral:rRNA from 1 species